UCUGAUUGGCUAUAAAUUCCCUCGUUGGUCCGAAUCCGACCAACCAUGUCAUAGUAUUUCAAAAUAGCCAAUGACUAUGUUUCAUUCUGUUUUUCUUGCAAAAUUGUAAUUGGUCAAUGAAUUCGGUCGACUGAGUUUUGCAAAGUGGAGUUACAAGCAAAUGUUGCUUUGAAAGUUUCAGGUUCGCUUGUUGUAAUUGCUUUUAUUCACAAUGCAAAGUGUGCUGUUACUUAUAAACGGAAAAAAUGUCUCCGUCCCGUUUCUUGUCAUUAUGAAUCCCAAAGACAAAAAUUUAGUUUUGAAGAAAUGUGCAUCCACAAACGAAUUAGGACUUCUUAACUCAACAAACUUAAAUUUACGUGAAGCCAAGUCUUACGCUGGAGCAAUGGUGGACACCAAACUUUACGAUUCGACUCCAAAUCAGCGAUAUCAGAAUACGAAAGAAAACUCUUUAGAGUUAUUUUGCAAAGAUUACGAUUUACAAAGAACGGAUAAGAACGCUAUAGCUACGAAGGAUGCUGUCACUGAUGAAAUUUACUACAUAAAUGAAGAGUUUUUGGUCCAGAAAGGUAAAUCAUAUACAGCGAAUGACAUUGCUUGGACCUGGAAGAAAGACUGCAGAAUGUGGAUGUGGAAGAACAAUGUGGAUUUUAAGAAGAAUCGCUCAGUAGCAGAAAUGAGAAAAUCAGCAGCCUAGAAUUUCCCAUUUUUUAUUCAACUUUUUUAAUGAAAUAUAAUUUUAACUUUUAUAACAAAAUAACAUUUACUGACACGUUUCUACAUAUUCUAGAGGUUGAUCAGCAACUUCACUGGUGUUUUCACCACACUCAAAUCUUUUAAAAUCAACUAUGUCUAUUUCAUGUUCAUCUAAUAUUUCUUUCACUGUUACAUUAUCAUCUAAUAAAAAUUCUUGAUGAAUUAAACAAGUUUCUUCUUCUUUAUCUUUUGCAGGCUUAUCAGACAACGUCCCAAUCUUUUUAGGAUUCAUUCCUACAAUAUGCUGACACAAUUCUUUACCAACUUUGUCUAAAUCUAUUUCUUUGGAAGCUAAUUGUUUUAGGGCUACUAUUGCUCCAAUUUUUCCUAAUGAAACCGAACUACCACUACCUGAAGGGUGCACAUAUCCUGAUAAGUGAACAUCUUUAUGAGCUUUGACCCCUAGGGCUCUUCUUAAAGAUGCAUUUUCACCAACUGUUCCAAUCAUCAAUGCUAAGUGGUCUGCUAGGCUUUUACCAUCUUGUGUAGGGAGGGUUUUUAAUUGAG